AAGGCCUUGCUGCGGGGAUCCCUGACAAUAAUUGGCAAAGCUCCCUGGUACAUCACACUUUAUUGUUAAUAUUUUUAAAUUAUUGCUCUCGUCUGCUACUAUAAAUUCUAAGCGUGAGCUUGUACAUUUGUCUGCCACUGGAUCCAUCCCCCGUGCCUGGCAUAAAAUACUAGCUAUUUGUUGAACACUUUAUACGGGGCAGGCUUAUCACUUAUUUCGGUUCAUGGUCACAACUACCCUACGAGACACAGAGCAUGAGCGGGGGAGGGGCAGAGAGAGGAGACAGAAUCCAAAACAGGCUCCAGGCUCUGAGCUGCCAGCACACUACCCGUCCUGGGGCUCGAACUCGUCAACCUGGAGAUCAUGACCUGAGCCGAAGUUGGACGCUAAACCGAUUGAGCCACCGGGCGCCCCAAUACAUACUAUAUUCUUAACAGUAAUA